GACGAACGCUGGCGGCGUGCUUAACACAUGCAAGUCGAACGGAAAGGCCCUGCUUUUGUGGGGUGCUCGAGUGGCGAACGGGUGAGUAACACGUGAGUAACCUGCCCUUGACUUUGGGAUAACUUCAGGAAACUGGGGCUACUACCGGAUAGGAGCUCCUGCUGCAUGGUGGGGGUUGGAAAGUUUCGGCGGUUGGGGAUGGACUGGCGGCUUAUCAGCUUGUUGGUGGGGUAGUGGCUUACCAAGGCUUUGACGGGUAGCCGGCCUGAGAGGGUGACCGGCCACAUUGGGCCUGAGGUACGGCCCAGAGUCGUAUGGGAGGCAGUAGUGGGGAAUAUUGCACAAUGGGCGGAAGCCUGUUGCAGAAACGCCGCGUGCGGGAUGACGGCCUUCGGGUUGUAAACCGCUUUCGCCUGUGACGAAGCGGGAGUGACGGUAAUGGGUAAAGAAGCACCGGCUAACUACGUG
rnacentral:rRNA from 1 species